GACGAACGCUGGCGGCGUGCCUAACACAUGCAAGUCGAGCGAAUGAAGUUCCUUCGGGAACGGAUUUAGCGGCGGACGGGUGAGUAACACGUGGGCAACCUGCCUCAUAGAGGGGAAUAGCCUUCCGAAAGGGAGAUUAAUACCGCAUAAGAUUGUAGUACCGCAUGGUACAGCAAUUAAAGGAGCAAUCCGCUAUGAGAUGGGCCCGCGGCGCAUUAGCUAGUUGGUGAGGUAACGGCUCACCAAGGCGACGAUGCGUAGCCGACCUGAGAGGGUGAUCGGCCACAUUGGGACUGAGACACGGCCCAGACUCCUACGGGAGGCGGCAGUGGGGAAUACUGCACAAUGGGGGAAACCCUGAUGCAGCAACGCCGCGUGAGUGAUGACGGCCUUCGGGUUGUAAAGCUCUGUCUUCAGGGACGAUAAUGACGGUACCUGAGGAGGAAGCCACGGCUAACUACGUGCCAGCCGCCGCUGUAAUAC
rnacentral:rRNA from 1 species